CAAAGAAUAGUUUAAUUUUAGAAUCUUAGCUUUGGGAGCUAGGGGUAAGAGUUAGAAUCUCUUUUCUUUGA
rnacentral:tRNA from 2 species